CGACCUCAUUAGAUGCCGUGAGGACUAUUUACUCCGAUGACGAUUUAGUGACUAAAACCUUCACUUCAUAAUUGAAUUUAGCGUUUUCUUAUCUCCAGAAACGCAGUGUUAGAAGGUGUUGCUUGUUCAGGUAAACUGAGUGAAUCCAUCAGUUAAGGCUUAAGGAGAAGAACCAGGAGCUGCUGUGGAGAUCCGUGGCCUGUUCCCGGACCAAACCAUCCUGGAUUCCUUGGAGAGUUUCAGGCCACAAACCGUGAGACAGCUGGGCUCAGGGUGCCAGACUCAGAGCAUCUAUUGGCAGUGGCUCAUCCGAGUCGUGCCACAGGGAUGUUGUUCCAGCUGGUGACAGCAGAGGGAGCGUCAGAGCUACUGGCAAUGCCAGGUCACUGCUGUGGGUGGAGCCAGGCAGAGGGGACAGGCCGAGGCCAGACUGGCGGCUGGAGAAGGUGAUUCACCUGAGUCCUCCGACUGACAGGUGACCGUAGGAGCUGCUGGCGGCCGAGCUGGAGCGGGAGCUGUUGAUGUACGC